UAAAAAAUGAUUACGCUCAUGCAGAUUUGAGGGUAGUCUACAUGUACUUGAUGACAAGAUCUAGAAGGAGUAACACGCCUACAUACACGGGCGUUUGUUCAAUUCUAGGCUAUUAUAUAACGCACAGAUGUAUGUCCCGUCCCGGAAAUGGCCUACAUCAGAAACAUAAACGGGGCACGUUGAAGCUGAAAGCCCGUCUGCUCAUUAUUUAAUUGAGGCAUAUCCCUGAAUGAGAUGUGUCCAGGCCUGGUAAUAUGUUACACAUUCACCAGCGGGUGAAGUCAGAGGGACGAACGUGACAAAGUCGGGAAAGGCCUGGUGGUUGAUCUCCUCUGCACUUCAUGCGCCGGCGACAUCAACAUGAACACAGCGCACCGAUAAGGUAUAAGUGUCCAUGAACAUGUACUCAGCAGCCCCGCUAGCGAACAUGCUGUGGCUCCCUCUUCCCGUUCGUGCUUUCUCUUCGAAUGAGGGGGAAGAGGGGAAAACAUCUCUAUUAAUACGUGUAGCAAGGUUGAUAAGAUGAAUUCCACUGUAAGGCCUGUGGCAACAAUUACUUCGGCAGUCCAAAAUACUUGUCAAAUCAUUGUCACGAGGCAGCCUUCUUGUUAAAGACUGCCCAUUAUGGGAUGGUCACUGACGUGCCAGCACUUAUGAUUCUACUGGCUGUCUUCCUUCAGCUUUUGUGUAAGAGGAGAAAUACAAUUUGUCAGCAAUCCGAGUAAUUCCACCGUCUUUUCUUGUCACUCGUUCUUGCAUAAAGGCAGGCCACAAGAAUAACUAAGUGCCCAGGAUAUGAAUACGUUGGUGGUGAGAACUGUUUGAAAUCGUUCCAGAAUUCAGUAUUCAGUGCGUGACAGUUUUAAUUAAAAACAGUGUGUUGAUCCUGACUCUUUUUUCCAGGAACUGCACAAGACCUGCACUGUAUCGUGCAGGUUUAAUAAUAAUGCUCCCGGGGGAGGGGGCAGGCUGUAGUAACAAAUAAAUAUUAGCACUAUUGUUUCUACAGCCGCGUGUAUUUUCUAAAAGGUAUUGGUGGUUGGAGUUUACUUACAGAACGAAAUGGGCAACCACCUUUCCAAGAAGUGUAAAAAUUCGGAAACCCCUUUUCGCAAUACGAACAUUCUUACAAUGGUUUAAUUUGGCGGAUGGGUUGUUAAUAUUUCUUUUCAGUUUGAUUGUACCUCUUAGUUAAGGAGGUCAAGUUCACGAAUAUAUUCAGUUGGAUGGCUGUUGUAAUUUUGAAAUGAACUGAAUUCCAUUUUCAGGUGUAUUGUUCGUUGGCUGGUAUUAAAGUUGAAAUUAAACCAUUGUUACAGUUUAGUCAAACGCAUGAGUAAAUACACUCGAAUAAAACGUGCCCACUCAUAGAGUCCACAAAAAUAUUCGCAAGAAAAAAUUAUAUAGUUCUUUAAUUGUGAUUAACUGCCGGUAGAACUGAAAUGAGUACACUUUAGUUCAUAAUUUUGUUGGCAAUCCCAGGAGCACUCAUCACAAGCGAUCGGCUCUCCCUGGACCAUCCAAGCGUGAGAAGAUCGCAAUUAAUGAAACGGCGAGAGAAAUACUCCUGUUGUGGGCCGUUGAUAUCACUCAGUAUCGUGUAAUAUUUGUGCCUUGCCGGAACAAUGCUCACAGAAUGGGGUCAGCUUGGCCCCUGGGCGAUGUGCGAUGAGUUGGGGGUACCAUCCCCUUCUGUGUCUUCGUCUUUAGCUCAGAUUUCUCGCCCGGCUGGCCACACAGUACGUUCAGUGAGGCAAAUAACCUCUCCAAAAAGCACGAUUUCAUUUCCCGUAAUUUCUUUAAAUAACAUUGUCUUUUAAACUGAAGGCAAAUGAAACGGGCAAUUAACCCAUUCCGAGGCUGGUUCAGUUGGAAUUGGAGGCAUGCACAGAGUUUGUUUUAUAUAAAUGAAUUACUCUAGCAUAAAUUGUAAAAUACACGAACCGAUGCAUGGUGACUCAUUGUGGAGUAAUUUAAUUGGUGGAGAGCGAAAUGUACCAGGUUUUUAUGCAUUGUUUGGUCUCUUCGGAAGAGACUGUUCUUAGAAAACUAUAUUUUCUUAAAAUUUUGCAUGUUGACAGCCUUAUUUAAAGAUGCAGUCACUUGACCAAGGAGUUGGUCUCCUUGGCGUUGAGCUACUGAUCUGAAUACCUAACGUGAAAGGUUGUUAUAUAAUUAUACGCUUGUUAGCCCGUUUGAAAUUUCAACUACUUUUCUGUCAUUGUUGUUUCCUAACACUGCUGUAUUCACGUAACGAUGUACACAUUAACAAUUUGCUGAAUUCACGAGGAGAACUACAAUUAUAAUCUUAAUUAGUAAAUCAUUAUACAUUUUGAUUUUCGUCCUACCAAAUUUUAAAGGUGAGAGGUCAGAGCAUGAAACCAUAUUGAGUAUGCUUCAGGUGGUUUCAGUACGUUGACGUCUGCACCUUGUCCAAUACAGAGUUAAGUGCGCUAUAAAUCUUUGGCUGAGUUGCUAUCAAAGGGUAGAUAUUCUAAAGCCGCCCUCGGUAUGUCAUCUCACUGUCAAAUUGAAACGAUUCGGUCACUUAAUCUCGCACAAAAGAGGAUUCACCUUUACAAAGUUUUUUCUUUUAAUAUAAAUUGAUAUGUUGUGAUCAGGGAGACGUGUGAAAGCAAUAUCAGAAGAGCAUAUGGGUGUUUGAGAGUGAAACGGCUGUAGUCACUUUAUGAUUAUAAAAAUGAUGCGUUGUACAUGUACUUUUGCUUUUCUUUAUUAUGGUGAAUAGCAGCUUUUAUGGAGUACCUGCAUAAAUCCCCGUCAUAUAAUUGGUGGAUCGUUGAUCACAUGACAUUGAAUUAUUCGUUCUUUUCAAUGGGUAUUCCGUUAAGUAGAAGUUCAUUUCACUUUCCUGGUUCCCAACCACAUUUCAUCAUUUCAUUCAAAAAAUGUAAGGAGGGGAAGCAGUCUGGCAUUUUACAAAGUACCUUUGGGUGUUGCUUCAAACACUAAUCUGUUUUGCAAAUUAGGGGACGUAAUACACGAGGACCGUAAUUUUUUCUCCGAACAGAAGAGGAUUUAUACAGCAGUUGCAGUUCAAUCAAUUGAAGGGAGUUUUACAACUGGACACAAAGAGGAAAAAUCAAGAAGCGUGGAUUUUUCAGUGCUGACUAUAGGAGAAGAACAGUAGCAUGUCUUGGUGUAUGAGAGGAUGCUCCGCUGACGUCUCGGUGUCGUGUCUCGAGAGCCCCGUCGAGUCCUCCUUAAUGCAUAAUCUGCUCUUCACAGUGCGAGUACAUCAUCUCCCCAUGCAGUUACCGCCAGAGUUCCGUGGGAAGGCUGAAAGAUGAAUGCGUCAAGUGACUCUGACUUAUAUGUUAUCGGCGGUGAUUUGACGUCGUGACAAUGUAAUCAUCUGUCGGGUCGCGUUAAGUAUCGACAAGUAUGCUGGCAUGCGUCGUAGGAGGCAUCGUGUAAUUAGCCCGUAUGCCUGAUGUCUAUGCAUGUACUUCUUAAGUCAACACUAGAGCGGAAUUCGUAUUCCUGCAAUCGUGUGUGGUUUGACAAGUUGGUAUGACGUGAAGCAGUACUUGUAUAAUUACGCUUAAUUCAUCCAUAGCUAGGAAAAGUGCAUACAGACUUUAUCAUUCAAGAAGCUAUAUGAGUUAACGGAUGAUCAGAUAGGUAUCGAAUAGGUUGGCUUGGUGAUGAUCAAGUGGCCAGACGUUGAUAGUGUAAGGGGCAUAUCUCGUUUCGAAAGCCUGUGAUUUGGUUCGCUUGCCAAUAUCUGCGCCUCAUCUUAAGUUGGCACUGAUCCAGCCCCCCCUUCGCUCUGACACACACGAAGGUGAAUAGUAAUAAUAAAAAGAUGGCAUCCUAUGAGGGUUGAUACAUGCUCACAGUGAGCCUUAUCAAUAGGCAACAUGGCUACCUGUAUGAAGAUAGUGCAUGUGUCCGUUUGUCUGUAACGAUGGGACAUUAAAAAAUGGGACGGGCCUAAUCCCCCUGGAAAACUAUUCGAAUCUACUUUUUUUCCAAACUGAGAACUUUCACCUUUGUCGAACAAAGUAGGCGCUUUAAGAACAAUGAGCUGGGCUGCCAAGGUCUAAGUGUUUGUGGCGAUAUAAUAGGCCUACUUGACUAUACAGUUGCUCUGCAACUUUACGUUUCGCUUAGGUGUCAGAUUCCAAGAGAUCGCUGUCUUUGAGUUUGAGCCACUUGACAAAAUAAUCCAAUGACAAUGCAGUUGUUAAAUUGGACUUCAAAACGCUAUAUUAAGCACUUGCCCUUUCCAUCAAUCUUCCUGAGGAUGGGCCUUCUCCAAAACUAUUGUUCGCUUGAUUAAGCACUUCUUUUUUACCCUUUUGAAGCGCCGUAUGUCUUUGACUGUCUGUUGUCACUUAACAACCAAGACAGCUUUCCAAUUCGAUUUGAAACCUGGCAGCAUCGAGGCUUACACUGAUGGAAUUUACACAGGGCCAUAUUUACCACUAUAAAAAUUGCCAUUUAAAAAUGUUUAAUAAUAGAGGUGAUGGUAUGAUGUAAGUUCACUCUGAAAACAGUCACGUCUAGUUUCACUGGCUAUCCAGAUCGUGCACCACUCAAGGGAAUAUGGAGAACACAGCGAUAUUAGGCCUACGGUCACCAUUUUCAACGUAAUGUUUGAACAACAACUGGUACAGGUAGCUUUGCAUCUUAGCACUUAAGGGCAUUUCAGGAGCUUGAACCGGUGAUAUCCUUAUCCGAGUGGAAAAUCAAAUGAUAUGUCAAAAUGAGAGUUAUUGUGCUUCAACAAUGCCUCCUGAAAUGAACGUAGCUUCGCUGUACUGGUUGCUCAUCUGAUGCAAGACCACGUCAUAUGAGCCAUCACCAGUCCAGAUGAGAUGAAAAUAUUCAGUGUGUCAGAAUUGUGCGGAUUUGCAGUGGCAAGCGAAUGUAUUAUAUGCAGAGCCAACCUGUCACCACUCUCAUGUUAAACCCGUACUUAACCUCUACGGAAGCAGGUGUUCCAUCCACAUUGUGCAUUAAUUGACUGGAUUCUAUUGUUAAUAAUUGAUAGUUUUGAACCAAAGCCAAAAAAAAAAAAAA